rnacentral:rRNA from 1 species
AAACCAACAGGGAUUGCCCUAGUAACGGCGAGUGAAGCGGCAACAGCUCAAAUUUGAAAUCUGGCCCUAGCGGUCCGAGUUGUAAUUUGCAGAGGAUGCUUUUGGUGCGGUGCCUUCCGAGUUCCCUGGAACGGGACGCCAGAGAGGGUGAGAGCCCCGUACGGUUGGACACCUACCCUAUAUAUAGCUCCUUCGACGAGUCGAGUAGUUUGGGAAUGCUGCUCUAAAUGGGAGGUAAAUUUCUUCUAAAGCUAAAUACCGGCCAGAGACCGAUAGCGCACAAGUAGAGUGAUCGAAAGAUGAAAAGCACUUUGAAAAGAGGGUUAAAUAGCACGUGAAAUUGUUGAAAGGGAAGCGUUUGCGACCAGACCUUUUCCAGGCGGAUCAUCCGGUGUUCUCACCGGUGCACUUCGCCUGGUUUAGGCCAGCAUCGGUUUUCUUAGGGGGAUAAAGGCCUGGGGAACGUAGCUCUUUAGGGAGUGUUAUAGCCCCUCGCGUAAUACCCCUCGGGGGACCGAGGACCGCGCUCUGCAAGGAUGCUGGCGUAAUGGUCGUCAACGAC